rnacentral:rRNA from 1 species
GAUGAACGCUAGCUACAGGCUUAACACAUGCAAGUCGAGGGGCAGCAUGGUCUUAGCUUGCUAAGACUGAUGGCGACCGGCGCACGGGUGAGUAACACGUAUCCAACCUGGAACCCAUACUCGGGUAUAGCCUCUCGAAAGGGAGAUUAAUCCCCGAUGUUGUUGUUAUGUCGCAUGAUGUUUCAACCAAAGAAUUUCGGUAUGGGAUGGGGAUGCGUUCCAUUAGCUUGUUGGCGGGGUAACGGCCCACCUAGCCGACGAUCAGUAGGGGUUCUGAGAGGAAGGUCCCCCACACUGGAACUGAGACACGGUCCAGACUCCUACGGGAGGCAGCAGUGAGGAAUAUUGGUCAAUGGGCGAGAGCCUGAACCAGCCAAGUAGCGUGCAGGAUGACGGCCCUAUGGGUUGUAAACUGCUUUUAUGCGGGAAUAAGAUCAGAUACGUGUAUCUGCGUGCAUGUACCGCAUGAAUAAGGACCGGNUAAC